UACAAAGUCUAUUCCCUUGAGCAACAUUUUAUCCAACUUUUAUGCUUAUUGCACCUUGAGUUGUGUCAACAUUUGCCAAAACCUAUUAGGCAACAAUGAUGUCAGUGCACUUACAAAACAAGACUUAAAAUUUUUUGGUUUAGCUCAAAUUUUGCAGGUAAAAAGAAAAUAUACAACAACAACUUCAAAAGGGUGGAAAAUAUACAUGCUCUGGUAUUUUAAAUACCUUUUAAAGUAUAGUUUCAUGCAAGAAUGCAUAAUACCCAAUAAAAAACUUAUAUAGAGCAAUUGAAAAGUUGCAGGCCUUCACACACUUUUGAAUAAUAUUUGAAGACAUGACAUGGUAACUUUGUUUACAUAAUAAUCAACUAAUCAAACCCUAAAUCAUUACCUCAUCCUGUUUGGAAAAUCAUUAAGUAGACAUUUGUUUCAAACUCCAUAAUAGAAUCAAACCAUAAAGAAAAAUCCAUUAUAGACCUAAUUGAAUUCAGUGUUCAAUCUCACCUUAGAGUGAUUGCAGCAAAAAAUAUGAAUCAUAAAGAAGCUUGUCAAUAAAGUAAACUGAAGAGUAUCGUCACAUGGAGGAGGAGCCCAAAGAAGCAUGUCAUUAAGUAAACUAAAUAUUAUAGAGUAAGGGAAGCACUCACAACGCCAUGCAUCUAU
rnacentral:lncRNA from 1 species